AGUCGAACGAGAAUGUAGGCUUCGGUCUACUAGUAAAGUGGCAGACGGGUGCGUAACACGUGGGUAAUCUACCUUCCGGCGGGGGACAACAGUCCGAAAGGAUUGCUAAUACCGCAUACGUCAGCGGCGCCUACGGGCGCUGUUGGGAAAGAUGGCCUCUCCUUGGAAGCUGUCACCGGAAGAUGAGCCCGCGCCCCAUCAGCUAGUUGGUGAGGUAAUGGCUCACCAAGGCUAAGACGGGUAGCUGGUCUGAGAGGAUGAUCAGCCACACUGGGACUGCGACACGGCCCAGACUCCUACGGGAGGCAGCAGUGGGGAAUAUUGGGCAAUGGGCGAAAGCCUGACCCAGCCACGCCGCGUGAGUGAUGAAGGCCUUCGGGUCGUAAAGCUCUGUGGGGAGGGACGAACAAACUCUGGGCUAAUCACCAGGGUCCUGACGGUACCUCCUUAGCAAGCACCGGCUAACCCUGUGCCAGCAGCCGCGGUAAUACAGGGGGUGCAAACGUUGCUCGGAAUCAUUGGGCGUAAAGCGCACGUAGGCGGUCUGUUAUGUCGGAUGUGAAAGCCCUUGGCUUAACUGAGGAAGUGCAUCCGAAACUGGCAGGCUAGAGUACUAAAGAGGGUCGCGGAAUUCCCGGUGUAGAGGUGAAAUUCGUAGAUAUCGGGAGGAACACCGGUGGCGAAGGCGGCGACCUGGGUAGAUACUGACGCUG
rnacentral:rRNA from 1 species